GAAAAGUGUGUCACAAUACGCUU
rnacentral:siRNA from 1 species